rnacentral:tRNA from 1 species
GGCCCCAUAGUCUAGUGGUAGAACGCAUCGCUGACUUCGAUGAGGCCCAAGUUCGAUUCUUGGUGGGGCCA